rnacentral:lncRNA from 1 species
UCAUUGUAAUUUUGAUUUGCAUUUCUCUAAUGAUCAGUGAUGUUGAGCUUUUUUUUCAAAUGUCUGUUGGCUACAUGAAUGCCUUCUUUUAAGAAAUGUCUUUUCAUGUCCUUUGCCCACUCUUUUUUUUUUUUUCUUUUGAGGUGGAGUCUUGCCUGAUUUAUUGAGAGUUUUUAACAUGAAGGGAUGUUGAAUUUUAUGGAAGAUCUUUUCUGCAUCUA